CAAUACCUUGAAGUACGUGGAAAUCGUCUGCAUUUUUUUACAAUUUAAUAUUCAUUGACAACGAGGCUACUUGAGCAAGAAAGAGUGGUAUUCAAGCUAUCUCGCAGCAGGAUAUCAAACCGCAGUACGUCGACGACGGCGAAGACAUUUUGUGUAAAAGCCGUUCACAGUACGUACUUCCCAUAGUACUCCAUGUGAAGAACAUUUUCAGCAAAGUUCCGAUUAAAAAGCUAUAGUCAAAGCGAGCAACGAUGAAGCCUUUUUUGAUGACUUUAUGGUGUUUCAUGGUGUUGACUGUCGAAGGUGAAUAUUACAUACUAGCACCUACAUCACAAAGUGCGUCGCCUACAGAACCCCCCAUGACACACCCUACUCUAUCKGCAGCCAUAUUGGAGCCCAUGCCGCAGACAGCCGUUCAUUACAUACCCAGUCCUUCCACGGCCAGCGAAAGAUUAACAUGUGGUAAUACCCAGGCUGUAGAUAAUGAGGUAUAYCCAGCGAAAGCACUCGCWCCAGGACCUGCCAUCCCACCCGUCUUACAACCUACAAAAUCGUUCUCGGAAAAUGCCGCCAAGAAUAUGACAAAGACCCAGAUUUGAGCUGUUCGUGAUCGACGUCAUUAUAUUGCAACCAGGUUUUUCUCAGCCUUCCAUGAACGAAAUUCUGCGACUGAUAUCGUCGAUACAUGAAUGUUAUUAUCAACACGGCCGCUAUCUCGAAUUAUGAAGAAAUUAUGGGAUACCAUUAUAAGGAGAAUGGUAUCGACGAUUAUUUUAUCRAUUUGAUUUAUUUUUUCCAAAUGUCAAUCGAAAUAUGAGGGKUUUUGYUUUACAGUUUCAAAUGAUGAAAACUGAAUCAAAUAACAUUCCCAAUACCGUAAAGCAGAUGGAUUUCUUAUUYAGUGCGCCCUCCCCUCCCCCAGGAUUCCAAUAUUUUCAUGAUGGCGACCGMAUUGRAAAUAAUAUCCAUUGUAUUUUCAUUACCAAAAUUCUUUAGYUCAAGACGUUUUUUGCUCGUUUUUCAAUUUGAAUUUUAUUUAUACACACAAUCAAUAUCRUCUAAUCUAAAUAGAAAAACAAUUAUUGACUAAAACGUCUAACUGAAAAGUAUUCUGGUCAUAAAACCCAAAAAUGGAAAGGUUUGUUAUCACUUCAAAUUCAGAAACACAUCAAAAUUGUACUAUAAAGUUCUGAUAAAUCCUGUCAAGACUUCCGAUAACUUUUAUGUACAUCGAGUUAUGGUUAUUUAAAUGGUGUUCGCAUGUAACUUGCAUUCAGAUCAGCAAGAAGGAUGAUUAUCUAAUAAGUAAGACUUUCGAGGCUGCGUUCACAGAGGUAAAAGCGUUUUUGGCGUAAGUAAAUUUGUGGUUUAACUAGCCAGUCA